rnacentral:snoRNA from 1 species
AUCCCAUAAUGAGGAGAGGUGGCGACAUAUCCCUGUAGACGUUCCCAUGUCUCUGGAAUGGACUCAUCCCUCGUCUGCUAGAAGCUUGAGAUUCUUCCACGAAGGGC